GUAAGGUAAGCUAAAUAAGCUAGUGGGCUCAUACCCCAAAAAUGAGUAUGUUCCUCCUUUACUA
rnacentral:tRNA from 1 species